rnacentral:lncRNA from 1 species
GCACAGGCCGGCCCUCUCGCGGGACUCAGUUUCCCCGUCUGCGCGCCCCACAUAUUCGCUUUCCGCAGGUUCUCUCGCUGAGAUUCGCGUCCUUCAAACUAAUGGAACUUUGCAAGGGGGCCCUGCGGCGGCUUCGCGUGGGAGCGCCGGGGAAAGUUCCUGCAAAUCGCCGGACUGGGGGCCCGCCCGGGAAGCUCGGACUGGGCCGGGCAGGGACUGCAGGGGCCUCUGCGCAGACCCGGGGCGUUGCGGCACCGCGGACCCCGGUCACGCGCUGGUUCUGCCCCCGGUACCCCGCACGCGGGACCCUGACCGCGGGGCCUCUGCGGCCGGACGAAGGCAGCGUCCGCGGAGCUGGCAGAAAGCCCGCGCCCAGACCCACAGUGAAGUGAUAAAAGCAGAGAGCAGAAAGGAGAAAACUGAGGGCCAGAAAGGGUGACUCCCCUGAGUGUCAUGCCACAAGUUGAGUGCUGGAGCCAGGACACCUUCCAAACCGGCUGUGCCUGCCUGCAAGCCCCAUCCUCCUCCAUCCCCCUGAGCAGCCAGACUGCAGAGGGAAUGAGCGGACCGAAAACAGUGUGGCCGCAACUUCCCCACUGCUUUGCGGGAGGUGGAGGGAGUUUCUAGGCUCUUUCCCUGUUGGGGAAUUAAGUAGCUGGGGAUCCCACUGAGUCUCCACCACCCUCUCACCCAUUUUCCACCCCUCCCCCACCACAUAUACAUUCUGCUCCCCCAGUGCCAAAUAACUUGCAUUUUCUGGAACACACCUGUCUGCUUACGGUCUCUGUGCCUUUCUUUGCCCACAUCUCCCCUCUUCUUGAAACACCCCUCCUCCCCUCCAGCGUGGGCUCAUGUGACCUAGAGAAGCACGUGGGAGCCCUGUCAUCUGGGGGACUUGGGUUCAAAUCCCACUUCUGGUCCUUAAGUCUGUGACUCUGGGCCUUUGUUUAAUAACUGGAGGAGUUUCAUUAGGAAAAUGGCAGUGACCACAUAUGUCCCUGGAGUGACUGAUGUGCCACCCACAAGCUUCUAUUUGGUCAGUGCUGGGUCCCAUCGUCCCAUCUAGCAUGCUCCUCUUCCAUCCUCGUGCCCCCACUCAGUGCCAUUGUCUCUGCCUCUCACCCUCUGUGCUGCUAUUCCUGCCCUCAUCACCUCCUCCCUAGGGCAGAGGCCCCGUCUUCUUUACCAUGCCCCAGUGCCAGCACAGUGCUUUGGCAAGUUAUUCAGCACUGGGGGAGUAGAGUGUAUGUGUGGUGGGGGAGGGGGUGGAGAAUGGGUAAGAGGGUGAUGGAGACUCAGGGGGACCCCCAGCUACUUAAUACCCCUGAGGAAGUGUCGGCCGAAGUGGACCCACUCCUGUGACAGUUCACAGCCUAGAAGAGGCGUCUGUAACCACGGUGACCAGUAAGUGCCAGCCCUGGGGCCACGUGGCUGUUCUAGAGAAGGAAGACAGCACUACCCUGAGAGCCAUGCUGGUGGCUUCAUCAGGAAGGGAGUCAGCAGGGGGAGGACUGGGGGACCAAGCGGUCCCUAAGAAGCAGAAUUUGCAAUACCCAAGGUUUUAGAAAGAGCAACCUGGCAGGGCCACUGCACAAUGAGAUCACAGACUCACCUCCCAGCUGUGAGUGCAGCUCACCCCACCUGCUCUGACCCAGGCACCGGUUAUGAAGAAGACAAGCAGCUCUACAGAGGGGCCUCAAGAAAUCCUUCGAAACAGAAAUCAAAGUCUUGCUGGAAGGGUUCUGGGCACCCUGGACUGUCCACAUGGGAGGCUGUUGGUGCGUGUGCCUACGUGUGUCCAUCAGUGGAUGCACGAAGAAGGAAAUGAAUUGAUUCCAUUCUUGAUGUGACUUUCAGCUGUCAGCUGUCUGCACUCCCAGACGGGGUGAUGGCCUGGCACCAACGGAGCAUUACCCUGAUGAAUCAUGGUCGAGGUACUUUUCCACUGGGCCAGCCGCCACAGCCCCUUCUCCAUCCUUCGGAGAGCUCUGUCACCUCGCCUUGUAGCACUUGUGUCUCUCCCACUGGCCUCCACUUCUUGUGGGCACUUUCUGGAUGCCCAGGCCUAAUCCAGCGCUGGCACUCAGUUAAUUCUCUCUUCCUUUAAAGGGAACAAUUACCACCUUGAGGAAGGAGGCCUGAAAGCUAAGUCUUUGCUAUUGCAUCCGCCUUCUUCUCACGAAGACCUGCAGCUUGAAAGGAGGGGAGGGAGAAAUAGCCCUAAGCUCCAGGAAGACCAAGCCCAGCCUCUGUGAUGAUUCCGAGGAAAUUCAGGAAAUCCUUGCUAAUGGCCAAACUUCCCGGGUUUGAGAUGCAAAAGGAAAUCAGAUCGCAGGGUAAUGCUUUUACACUAAGCAAGAAAUUGCAGGAUAUAAAGCUGUGCAGACCAUUGCCUCUGAUUAAGAAAGCGAUUCUGAGAUUCCAGCCUGGAAGGAACCGGGCCCCAGUGUUAACUGUGGUUAAUUCUGGGUGGAGGGGUGAUGGGUGAUAAUUUCUCCUUUUUCUUUUCUGUACUAACCAUUAAUACUGGGGGGAUGGGCAGUUAAAAAUCAAAGGAAGAAAACAUAAAGAAAGCCAAAUCCUUUUCCAUCUGUAGCCAUUCAAGCUACUGCCUGGACACGCUCUCCUUGAAGCUGGGGCUCCUCUCUCAGCCCCACCUAACAUGGCCCACCUCCUUCCUGGGGUCACUCCGUGUUCCUCAAGCACUUCAAACUCAUCCUCUCCUGCCUCUGAGCUGAGCAUAUGGGCCUCUCCCCUUCCUUUAAAAGCUCCAUCCGUGACUGCCUUCUGGGGGUCAGCCACAUAGCUGAGUGAGGACCACAUGCUUCACACCAAAUGAUACAAGAAGCUUGUUCCAAAUCUAUGUGGGUUUUUUGACAUUUUAGAGAGCAGAUGCUUUCCCAUGCUUUCUAAUUCCCUAUUACAUCUAUACAUCUCUUUUAAAAGAUCCUGCAAGUCCUUUUAGUGUCUGGACACAGGUUAUUCCCUCCCUUUCUUUUUUCCCAAUUUCACCUGCCCCAGUCCUCCUGGUCAGUGCUUCUGUUUCCUGCACAAGGAAACAGCCUUGCAAACAUGGUGAACCCUGAAAGCAUGCUGGAAAUGAAAGAAGCCAGGUACAAAAGACAACAUACUAUAUGAUUUCAUUCACAAGAAAUGUGUGUAACAGAAAAAUUUACAGAGACAGAAAAUAAAUUCCUAGUUGCUUAGGGCUGGGAGAGUGGGGUGAGGCCUCUCUACAGAGAUGGCAAUGCCCAGGAUUCAAUCUGAAGAUGUUGUUUAGAUAUCACAGCAUAGUCGGACAAUAGUGAGGACAGUCUGGCAUUGGCGUACAGAUGAACAAAUAGAUUUGUGCAAUAGAAGAAGCCAAACCAGAUUCCAGCCUACCUCCAGUCACCUGAUUUAACAAAGUCAAAGUCACAAAUCAAUAGGGAGAGGAUGGUCUUUUCAGUAAAUGAUACCGUAUCAAUUGACUCGUCAUAUACAGAACAAAAUGAACUUUGGUCCCAUACACACACAAGUCAUAAAAGUUCACUCAAAGUGAAUGAUAGACCUACAUUUGAAAACAAAAGCAAUGCAGGAUCCAGGAGAAAGGGUCCAGGCAGGAGAAUAUUUUUAUGACCUUGGACUAAGCAAGAGAUUCAUAAACAGGACACAAAACCACUAACCACCAAAAAAAAGGACUGAUAAACAUGACAAUUAAAAUGAAGAAUUUAU